rnacentral:rRNA from 1 species
GAUGAACGCUAGCUACAGGCUUAACACAUGCAAGUCGAGGGGCAGCACAGUGUAGCAAUACACGGGUGGCGACCGGCGCACGGGUGCGUAACACGUAUCCAAUCUGCCCGUUACUCGGGGGUAGCCUUCUGAAAGGAAGAUUAAUACCCGAUAGCAUUCAUUUGCGGCAUCGCUUAUGAAUUAAAGAUUUAUCGGUAACGGAUGAGGAUGCGUACGAUUAGCUUGUUGGCGGGGUAACGGCCCACCAAGGCUACGAUCGUUAGGGGUUCUGAGAGGAAGGUCCCCCACACUGGAACUGAGACACGGUCCAGACUCCUACGGGAGGCAGCAGUGAGGAAUAUUGGUCAAUGGUCGAGAGACUGAACCAGCCAAGUAGCGUGAAGGAUGACUGCCCUAUGGGUUGUAAACUUCUUUUGUUUGGGAAUAAAGUCAGGUACGUGUACCUGUUUGUAUGUACCAUUCGAAUAAGCAUCGGCUAAUUCCGUGCCAGCAGCCGCCGUAAUAC